rnacentral:rRNA from 1 species
UCGGAUUGUAGUCUGNAACCCGACUACAUGAAGCCGGAAUCGCUAGUAAUCGCGGAUCAGAAUGCCGCGGUGAAUACGUUCCCGGGUCUUGUACACACCGCCCGUCACACCAUGGGAGUCGGAAAUGCCCGAAGCCGGUGACCCAACCCGAAAGGGAGGGAGCCGUCGAAGGCAGGUCGGAUGACUGGGGUGAAGUCGUAACAAGGUAUC